GAUGAACGCUGGCGGCGUGCCUAAUACAUGCAAGUCGAGCGAACAGACGAGGAGCUUGCUCCUCUGACGUUAGCGGCGGACAGGUGAGUAACACGUGGAUAACCUACCUAUAAGACUGGGAUAACUUCGGGAAACCGGAGCUAAUACCGGAUAAUAUAUUGAACCGCAUGGUUCAAUAGUGAAAGACGGUUUUGCUGUCACUUAUAGAUGGAUCCGCGCCGCAUUAGCUAGUUGGUAAGGUAACGGCUUACCAAGGCAACGAUGCGUAGCCGACCUGAGAGGGUGAUCGGCCACACUGGAACUGAGACACGGUCCAGACUCCUACGGGAGGCAGCAGUAGGGAAUCUUCCGCAAUGGGCGAAAGCCUGACGGAGCAACGCCGCGUAAGUGAUGAAGGUCUUCGGAUCGUAAAACUCUGUUAUUAGGGAAGAACAAAUGUGUAAGUAACUAUGCACGUCUUGACGGUACCUAAUCAGAAAGCCACGGCUAACUACGUG
rnacentral:rRNA from 1 species